UACGGGGGGGGCAAGCGUUGUUCGGAAUUACUGGGCGUAAAGGGCUCGUAGGCGGCCAACUAAGUCAGACGUGAAAUCCCUCGGCUUAACCGGGGAACUGCGUCUGAUACUGGAUGGCUUGAGUUUGGGAGAGGGAUGCGGAAUUCCAGGUGUAGCGGUGAAAUGCGUAGAUAUCUGGAGGAACACCCGUAGCGAAGGCGGCACUCUGGGCCGGUACUGACGCUGAGGAGCGAAAGCGUGGGGAGCAAACAGG
rnacentral:rRNA from 1 species